UUUGCUGAAACUGAAAACUUAUUGCUGAAAAUACUGUAGCAAUUAAGUGGAAAAAACGCAGAUGAAAAAAACCAAACGCGGUACUGUAGCGGAACUGAAAAUACUGUAGCAUAUAAAUACCAAAAUUAAAAACCCUUUUCCCCUUUCCUUCAUUCACUCUUCUCCAGACCCUAGCUAACGCCUCAGGAGAGUUCCACGCCUCAGGAGAGUUCCAAGCCCAUCAGAACUUCCGAAUGUCCCUUCUUACGCUGCUAUUCGUAAUUUCUCAUCAUCCGAAAUCAAACCUCCUUGAUCUCCCAAUUUCAAUUUCAACAUUCUAAACCAAAACCCUCUUUCUCAAACACUUCCACUUUCAAACCACCUCAUAACCCUUUCCUCUCUUUCAAAACCACCUGGGUUUAGGUUCUUCUGUCAACAAUAGAUCUUCGCCAGAAAGGUCUUCGACAAGCCCGCCACAGCUCUCUCUUCCGCUUUCUCUCGCUACCGCCAGGCCAUUGGUUUGCAAUUUCAGGCUUUCUUUAAGAUAAACUCUCUUUUUCUCUUUCGGGCCACUGCCGUUUUACUCUAUGCUUUGAUCUGGAGGUUUAUGUUCGGCAUAGCUAAUACCUUCGUUGGCCUCUCCGAAGGCAUGGCCAAGUAUGGCUUUCUCGCCCUCUCUUCCGCUAUCGUCGCUUUUGCUUUAAUUCAUUGACAUGAGUCCUCCACAUGGCUUACCCCAUCCCUUCUUCCGUUUUGGAAAUCCUUCCUGGAUGAUAUCACCCAAGGGUUGCAAUUUGUGUGAAAGGCUUCUUUUACUGUUGAAGAAUUUUGAGGAAACCUUGGGUGGGAGGCUGAGAAAGCUUAACCCAACGGACCAGGUUACGAACACAGCCAAAGGGAAGGUUUUAAUGCGUGCUAUGUAUGGGGUUUUUUUUUUAUGGUAUUUAUCUACAGUGUCUUUUCUUCACCCUUCUCUAGUUCUGCAAUAGAGUUGUUUGAUUUGAAUGUUGAUGACAAAGGGUUUUGUGGGCUGAAGCUUUUACUAGUUUGCAAACUAGCAUUAAUAGUGAAAUUAGAAAUUUAUAUUCAA